UCCCCUAGUAACUGCGAGUGAAGAGGGAAAAGCUCAAAUUUGAAAUCUGGUGGUCCCUUGUGAUCAUCCGAGUUGUAAUUUAGAGAAGUGUUACCCGCGCUGGACCGUGUACAAAUCUCCUCGAACGGAGUAUCAUAGAGGGUGAGAAUCCCGUAUAUGACACGGACUCCCAGGGCUUUGUGGUACGCUCUCAACGAGUCGAGUUGUUUGGGAAUGCAGCUCUAAAUGGGUGGUAAAUUCCAUCUAAAGCUAAAUAUAGGCGAGAGACCGAUAGCGAACAAGUACCGUGAGGGAAAGAUGAAAAGAACUUUGGAAAGAGAGUUAAACAGUAUGUGAAAUUGUUGAAAGGGAAACGCUUGAAGUCAGUCGCGUCUCUCAGAGAUCAACCUAGCCUUUUCGCUUGGUGCACUCUCUGUGGGAUGGGUCAGCAUCAAUUUUGACUGGGGGAAAAAGUUUGUGGGAAUGUGGCACCCUUGUGGUGUGUUAUAACCUACUUGCAUAUACCUCUGUUGGGAUUGAGGAACUCAGCAUGCCGAAAGGCCGAACUUUUUAGUCACGUACCAUGCUUAGGAUGCUGGCAUAAUGUCUUCAAUCGACCCGUCUUGAAACACGGACCAAGGAGUCUAACAUGCCCGCGAGUGUUUGGGUGAAAAAACCCAAGU
rnacentral:rRNA from 1 species